GAGUGAAACAGGGAGGGAGAAGAAGUGGGGAGAGCGUGAGAGCACACAGGGAAGGGAUGCUUAAUCAGCAGACCAGCAUUCUCUUACCUUGGCAUCCACUUUGUUAAUAUUGUUUUGGCAAGUGCAGGCUGUAACAAUUAGAUGAUGGCAGCGUUUAUGGACGACGCAGGUGCACACUAGGAAAUUAAAUCCAGCAAUUACACAUUUAUCAGAAGCUCCCAGGACAGUCGGUUGCAGCAGUCAACGAAAGCUUGCCCAUGCCAGCGACUUGACUUGGAUGUCUGGCCACAUCCUGGCAGCCAAGCCAGGGCUCUCAUCCUUCCUGCAUCUAUUGACAACACCCUAACGAGACCUCUGUUUAAGGGCCAACUGUCUGCCGUCCCGCCCUAAGCUGCUCCCUCCUUCCUGUAUUUCAUCCUGCACCCACCUUCAGAGGAAUCUUUUCACGGUGUUUGGUUUGUGCGUGUAUCUGUGCAGCACACGCAAGCAGUACUCAUGGAGGCCAGAAGGGGGAAUCAGACCUCCAAACUGGAGCUGCACACAGUAAAGCUGAAAAAUAAAGCUAAUUUGGGUAACAGUACCGAUUCCCUAUGCCGGUGACAUAAACACAUCAAUCAGCAUUCAGCGUCUCACCCUGCCAACAGCGCAACGUGAAAACCAAAAACUGAUCUUCAGUACUCAAGGGCACGCUUGCACAUUGGUACUACUUCUCAGUCCCGUCAUGUUACUGCAAACUUUCAGCAACAAAGCUCUUCUGGGAGUCCUUGCUUUAGAAAUGAACAUGUUUCCUCUCUAUUGUCAAAUCAUCCAGGGUCUGGUAAGGACUACAGUUGCCACCUGGGUGCCAUGCGACUUGUGGAGAAUUACCAC